UGAAUACGAGACGCUAAGGCGUCGAAGUAGUGUAUGUCAUACUUCCAAGAAAAGCUUGCACUGUCAUAGAUAAAAAACGCCUGUACCAUAACCGACACAGGUGGGUAGGUAGAGUAUACUAAGGGGCGCGAUAUAACUCUCUCUAAGGAACUCGGCAAAAUAACUCCGUAACUUCGGGAGAAGGAGUGCCUUAUUCUUAAGGUUGCAAUAACAAGAUCCAAGCAACUGUUUAUCAAAAACACAGGUCUCCGCUAAGUCGUAAGACGAUGUAUGGGGGCUGACGCCUGCCCAGUGCCAGAAGGUUAAAGAAGCUGGUUAGCAUUUGCGAAGCUAGUAACUGAAGCCCUGGUGAACGGCGGCCGUAACUAUAACGGUCCUAAGGUAGCGAAAUUCCUUGUCGGGUAAGUUCCGACCCGCACGAAAGGCGUAAUGAUUUGGAUACUGUCUCGGAGAGGGGCUCGGUGAAAUAGACUUGUCUGUGAAGAUGCGGACUACCUGCACCAGGACAGAAAGACCCUAUGAAGCUUUACUGUAACUUGAAAUUGAAAUUGGACUUUAUUCGCGCAGUAUAGGUGGGAGGCGUUGAUUAUAAUCUUGCGGGAUUAUUGGAGCCAUUAGUGAGAUACCACUCUUGUAAUGUUAGAUUUCUAACUUUGAAUCAUUAUCUGGUCAAAGAACAGUUUCAGGCGGGCAGUUUGACUGGGGCGGUCGCCUCCUAAACGGUAACGGAGGCGUACAAAGGUUUCCUCUGAACGGUUAGAAAUCGUAUCUAGAGUGUGAAGGCAUAAGGAAGCUUGACUGUGAGACCUACAAGUCGAGCAGGGACGAAAGUCGGUCUUAGUGAUCUGACGGUACUGAGUGGAAAGGCCGUCACUCAACGGAUAAAAGUUACUCUAGGAUAACAGGCUGAUCUCCCCCAAGAGUUCACAUCGACGGGGAGGUUUGGCACCUCGAUGUCGGCUCAUCGCAUCCUGGGGCGGUAGUACGUCCCAAGGGUUGGGCUGUUCGCCCAUGAAAGCGGUACGCGAGCUGGGUUCAGAACGUCGUGAGACAGUUCGGUCCAUAUCCGGUGUAGGCGUUAGAAUAUUGAGAGGAGCCUUCUUUAGUACGAGAGGACCGAGAAGGACAUACCUCUGGUGUACCAGUUAUCGUGCCAACGGUAAACGCUGGGUAGCUAUGUAUGGAGUGGAUAACCGCUGAAAGCAUCUAAGUGGGAAGCCCACCUCAAGAUAAGUAUUCUCA
rnacentral:rRNA from 1 species